CAUUGCGUCUCUUCUGUACUCGUUAGCCACGAGCAGCCGUUGACGACUUUCCUCUAAACUCCGGCCACUAACACCAAGUCACCGAUCGCAGACGGGAGGGAUAGAUUUAUGUUUGGCUAACGGGCAAAUAGAUAGAAAAGGAAAGAAAGGAAGGUACAAUUUCAAGGAGAAGAGAGAAUGAGGUCAUCUUUUACUUCCGGUGCCAUAAAUAUUGCUGCGAGUGCUCAAACGCUUGAUGUUGAUAAUCGGAUUUCUCUUCGAUACUACUAUCGGAUCGCUGAUAAUAUUCUCAAACAGGCUGACAUCUUUCGAGAAGAGAAGAAUAUCAUAGAUCUGUAUAUAAUGCUGUUGAGGUUUUCAAGCUUGGUAUCAGAGACGAUACCAUGUCAUCGAGAUUAUGGGUUGUCUCUACAAAGCAAAAAAGUUCAUUUGAAAAAGAAAUUAUUGAAUGCUUUGAGUGAGUUGGAGGAGUUGAAGCCAAAAGUGCAGCAAAACAUUAAUGAAUUCAAUAGAAAACAUACACGUCAAGUAAAUGGGUGGGGCAAUGUUCAUCAACAUGAUUCAUUAGAGUGGCCUCCUGUCAAAAAGAAAACUUUGACUAGCUAUGAUGUGACAAAGGCGGUGGGACCAGCUGCACGAGCAUUUGUUUAUCCAGGUUCAGGAACUCAGCAAUUUUCACACGCUAGGCCAGUGGAAGAGCAAUUCAGAAGAAUAUCUUUAAAUUUACCUCGUCCUAAGGAGGAUACUCUUUCUAGACAUUCUAUAUUGGGUCCAAAUGGGCUACAUGGUCCAUGGCAGCCACCUAGGAGUGAUAAAGGAGUCCAGUAUCCAAGCAACUUAGACCUCACUCCAGUUGCAAUCCCUAGCCUGCAACAAUCCGCAGAAAAUGGGGUUAGAGUGAAAGAGGACACCAGCAAUUUGGAGCCUCAUAACCUGCAGCAGUCUGAAGAAAAUGGAUUUACAAUAAAAUCAGACAAUAUCAGCGCAGAACUUGAAAGAGCAAGUCUAGAGUCAGUUCUUACUCUGAAUGUUGAUAGUCAGAUGCACUCUGCUCAAGAAUCCUCUUCCAUGAUUUCCUUUGAAACAACAGAGACCCCUGUUCAGACAGAUUUGAUUAGACAGCCAUCUCCUCCAGCUGUACUUGCAGAAGUACAAGAUUUGAUAUCUUCAUUGUCUUCCCAAGUUACUGAAGCAGAAAAUAAAAUGGAUAUUUGCUCACCUGAUAAUUUUGUUCAUUCUGAAUCUCCCCUGCAACUGCAUAUUUCAACAACAUUGAUGGAGAACUUCAUGAA
rnacentral:misc_RNA from 1 species